AUAGCUUCUCGGCCUAAUGGUUAAGAUCAAAGUGUCGUAUCUGUUCUUAUUAGUUUAACACCUAAUAGUUCCCUCAUAGAGGAACAAUGUUAUUAAAUUGAUUUUUGGAAGCCGGCGAAGUGCUAGGAGCUUGCUCCGCCUUUGCCACGGGAUGGCCUGGUAUUGCAGUACCGCCAGAAAUAUGAUACUUUAA
rnacentral:snRNA from 1 species